rnacentral:rRNA from 1 species
GACGAACGCUGGCGGCGUGCCUAAUACAUGCAAGUAGAACGCUGAAGAGAGGAGCUUGCUCUUCUUGGAUGAGUUGCGCACGGGUGAGUAACGCGUAGGUAACCUGCCUUGUAGCGGGGGAUAACUAUUGGAAACGAUAGCUAAUACCGCAUAACAAUGGAUGACACAUGUCCUUUAUUUGAAAGGGGCAAUUGCUCCACUACAAGAUGGACCUGCGUUGUAUUAGCUAGUAGGUGAGGUAACGGCUCACCUAGGCGACGAUACAUAGCCGACCUGAGAGGGUGAUCGGCCACACUGGGACUGAGACACGGCCCAGACUCCUACGGGAGGCAGCAGUAGGGAAUCUUCGGCAAUGGGGGCAACCCUGACCGAGCAACGCCGCGUGAGUGAAGAAGGUUUUCGGAUCGUAAAGCUCUGUUGUAAGUCAAGAACGAGUGUGAGAGUGGAAAGUUCACACUGUGACGGUAGCUUACCAGAAAGGGACGGCUAACUACGUG